rnacentral:rRNA from 1 species
GGCCGCGGGAAUUCGAUUCAGGCCUAACACAUGCAAGUAGAGCGGUAGAGAGAAGCUUGCUUCUCUUGAGAAAGGCGGACGGGUGAGUAAUGCCUAGGAAUCUGCCUGGUAGUGGGGGAUAACGUUCGGAAACGGACGCUAAUACCGCAUACGUCCUACGGGAGAAAGCAGGGGACCUUCGGGCCUUGCGCUAUCAGAUGAGCCUAGGUCGGAUUAGCUAGUUGGUGAGGUAAUGGCUCACCAAGGCUACGAUCCGUAACUGGUCUGAGAGGAUGAUCAGUCACACUGGAACUGAGACACGGUCCAGACUCCUACGGGAGGCAGCAGUGGGGAAUAUUGGACAAUGGGCGAAAGCCUGAUCCAAAAGGGCCGCGUGUGUGAAGAAGGUCUUCGGAUUGUAAUUAAAUGGAAGUUGGGAGGAAGGGCAUUAACCUAAUACGUUAGUGUUUGACGUACCGACAGA